rnacentral:rRNA from 1 species
CUACCAUGGCGAUCACGGGUAACGGAGAAUUAGGGUUCGAUUCCGGAGAGGGAGCCUGAGAAACGGCUACCACUUCUAAGGAAGGCAGCAGGCGCGUAAAUUACCCAAUCCUGACUAAGGGAGGUAGUGACAAGAAAUAGCGAAUCGGGAGUAUUAUACUUUGCGAGUUUGCAAUGAGAUUCAACCUAAAAAACUUAACGAGGAUCCAUUGGAGGGCAAGUCUGGUGCCAGCAGCCGCGGUAAUUCCAGCUCCGAUAGCGUAUAUUAAAGUUGUUGCAGUUAAAAAGCUCGUAGUUGAACUUCUGCUCAGAUAUCCAAAUACAUUAUUUGUGACGUCUUGAGCAUCCCCUUUGAAUUAAUGACGUGCACUUUGUUGGGCAGUCAGGUAUUCAAGGAAUUUACUUUGAAAAAAUUAGAGUGUUUCAAGCAGGCGAUUGCUGGAAUACAUUAGCAUGGAAUAAUAGAAAAUGACCUCUCUAUCAUUUUAUUGGUAAGUGAUUAGAGGUAAUGAUUAACAGGGACAGUUGGGGGCAUUAGUAUUGCUUUGUCAGAGGUGAAAUUCAUUGAUUAUAGCAAGACUAACUUAUGCGAAAGCAUUUGCCAAGGAUGUUUUCAUUAAUCAA